rnacentral:sRNA from 1 species
CAACAACGGAAAGGAGGUGGUCAGAUGUCUCAUUGUCAUAUGCCGCGUGCGGCAGUUCUCAUGAGCAAGACCUCCGCCUCGGGAGUCCGGCUCGGCUGAGCUGCCCGUUCAGGCAGGACAAUGGAAGGGUCGUCCGAAAGGGCGGCCCU